CCCUUAGAUGUUCUGGGCCGCACGCGCGCUACACUGAUGCACUCAACGAGUUUUUCCUGGUCCGAGAGGAAUGGGUAACCUUUUGAAAGUGCAUCGUGCUAGGGAUAGACUAUUGCAAUUAUUGGUCUUCAACGAGGAAUGCCUAGUAGGCGCAAGUCAUCAGCUUGCGUCGAUUACGUCCCUGCCCUUUGUACACACCGCCCGUCGCUCCUACCGAUUGGGUGUGCUGGUGAAAUGUCCGGAUCGGCCGUUUGUCGCGGUUUCCGCGUCAUGUGGCUGAGAAGUUCAUUAAACCCUCCCACCUAGAGGAAGGAGAAGUCGUAACA
rnacentral:rRNA from 1 species